rnacentral:lncRNA from 10 species
UUUAGCUCUAGGUAGAGGAUAUGGCCUGAAGGGCUAAGUUGUAACCUCCGGUUCUGGUUAAUGGUGAGUGCUCUGGUGAUUCCUUCUAGAAGCCUGGCUUGGUCACUUCUUAGUAGGUGAUGUGAGCAGUAAUACUAAACUGAUAUGCAAAGGAUGCCCGUACUUCAUCAAAAUAUCAAUGUUGUCCAUGACAAGCAAAGAACCCAGCUGUAGUUUAAUUCAACAUCACAGUCCCAACAUGUUUUCAAAGCUUUUGGUCCCAGGAUUAUUCAACCUAGCUCAUAAAAGAAAACAAUAUUGCAUUUCUAAGCAUUUGUUCGUAGAAUUGGCAAGUUUAGUCGAAAAAAGCUGGAAUGACAUUAAAACAACACCCUGUCAUCUUUCAAUCAGUCCUUAG